AAACUUAAAGGAAUUGACGGGGCCCGCACAAGGCGGUGGAGCAUGUGGUUUAAUUCGACGCAACGCGAAGAACCUUACCUGGGCUUGACAUCUGCGGAAUUUCUACGAAAGUAGGAAGUGCCUUCGGGAGCCGCAAGACAGGUGCUGCAUGGCUGUCGUCAGCUCGUGUCGUGAGAUGUUGGGUUAAGUCCCGCAACGAGCGCAACCCUUAUCUUUAGUUACCAUCAUUCAGUUGGGGACUCUAAAGACACUGCCCCGGUCAACGGGGAGGAAGGUGGGGAUGACGUCAAGUCCUCAUGGCCCUUAUGUCCAGGGCUACACACGUGCUACAAUGGGCAGUACAAAGGGUAGCAAGCCUGCGAAGGUGAGGCCAAUCCCAAAAAGCUGUUCGUAGUUCGGAUUGGAGUCUGCAACUCGACUCCAUGAAGCUGGAAUCGCUAGUAAUCGCGGAUCAGCAAAGCCGCGGUGAAUACGUUCCCGGGCCUU
rnacentral:rRNA from 1 species